AAAAUCUUUCAAGUUUGCAGCAGAAAACCUGUGAAACUGUAGGUGAAAAAUUAAUGUCCAUUCACAAAAUAAAGGCUUAUCCAGAUGUAAUGAAAAGAAUCUUUGGACCAAGACUGCCAGUUUUCUCGAAGGAAGAAUCAGAACAAGUGAAAGGCUCAUCUGACUUUGUAGGAAUCAUUCACUAUCUUGCUGCUUCUGUCUCAAAAUCCGAAACUUCUCUUCUUCCAGGGGACUCCGAUUUCUUCUGAGACAUGGACGUUUAAUUCUUUGACUUGUGUGAAUCAUAACUAAAAUAACUCUUUGCUCUAUUUUUUCUUUUGUUAUCUCCACCGAUGUUUCUUGUGUUUAUGCUGAUCAUCAUCUUAUCUUCUUCUUUGUUUUACUGCUUUGGGAAGGGCAGACUUCGGGAAUUUCUCAGCUUUCCAGUAUGAUGUUGCCCCAUGGGCUAUGGAAGGUCUCCUAGAGUACAUAAAACAGAGUUAUGCCAAUCCUCCUGUCUACAUUCUUGAGAAUGGUCUCUCUCUCUCUUCCUCUCUUUCUCUCUUGUUUUUGUCUGAGUGAGUCUGCUCAAUUCCCUUGCCCAUGCAAACGAACACGUAAACCAAUGAAGCAAGACUUGCAGCUGCAAGAGAAGAACACACCAAGGAUUGAGUUCUUACAUGUUUACAUUGGUGCUGUUCUUAAAGCCGUUAGGAAUGGAUCAGAUACGAGAGGCUACUUAGUUUUGGAUUGUACUCUGCUGAUUUCAGCGAUCCUCAACUCAUCGCAAGAGAUCAUCCAAACUCUCUGCUCAUUGGUACUCUGCUUUCCUCAAGGGCAGUACCACCUUUCUUGGUUCCCAAGGCAUCACGAAAUUGCAGAGCAACUUAUCUUCCUUAUACUACUAGUCUUUUUGUUGCAUUUAUAUGGUUAAAGUCCGAUAAUUGAAUAUGAUAACGCUUAUUGUUUAGCUACAUGAUCUCCGUUGUU